rnacentral:rRNA from 1 species
CUCGUGUCGUGAGAUGUUGGGUUAAGUCCCGCAACGAGCGCAACCCCUAUUGUUAGUUGCCAUCAUUCAGUUGGGCACGUCUAGCGAGACUGCCGGUAAUAAACCGGAGGAAAGGUGGGGAUGACGUCAAAUCAUCAUGCCCCUUAUGACCUGGGCUACACACGUGCUACAAUGGUUGGUACAACGAGUUGCGAGUCGGUGACGGCGAGCUAAUCUACUUAAAGCCAAUCUCAGUUCGGAUUGAGGGCUGCAACUCGCCCUCAUGAAGCUGGAAUCCGUAGUAAUCGCGUUUCAACAGAACGCGGUGAAUACGUCCCUGCUCCUU